rnacentral:rRNA from 1 species
AACGAACGCUGGCGGCAUGCCUAACACAUGCAAGUCGAACGGGAUCCAUCCUUCGGGAUGGUGAGAGUGGCGGACGGGUGAGUAACGCGUGGGAACCUGCCCAGUGGUGGGGGAUAACUGCGGGAAACUGCAGCUAAUACCGCAUGAGCCCGAGAGGGGAAAGAUUUAUCGCCAUUGGAGGGGCCCGCGUUCGAUUAGGUAGUUGGUGGGGUAAUGGCCUACCAAGCCGACGAUCGAUAGCUGGUCUGAGAGGAUGAUCAGCCACACUGGGACUGAGAUACGGCCCAGACUCCUACGGGAGGCAGCAGUGGGGAAUAUUGGACAAUGGGGGCAACCCUGAUCCAGCAAUGCCGCGUGAGUGAUGAAGGCCUUCGGGUUGUAAAGCUCUUUUGCCAGGGACGAUGAUGACGGUACCUGGAGAAUAAGCCCCGGCUAACUUCGUGCCAGCAGCCGCCGUAACAC